rnacentral:rRNA from 1 species
UUGAUACUGCGAGUCUUGAGUGAGGUAGAGGGGGGUGGAAUUCCCGGCGUAAAGGUGAAAUUCGCUCUAUCGGGAGGAGCUCAGAGGCGAAGGCGACCCCCUGGGCCUUUACUGACGCUGAGGUGAUAAAGCUUGGGGAACAAACAGGAUUAGUAACCCCGGGAGUCCACGCCGUAAACGAUGAUUACUAGGUGCGGGGGGUAUAAACUCCCUCCGUGUCGCAGCUUACGCAUUAACUACUCCUCCUGGUAAGUACGGUCGCAUGGCUGAAACUCACAGGACUUGACGGGGGCCCGCACAAACGGUGGAACAUGUGGAUUAAUUAUAUGCUUCCCGAAAAACCUUACCUGGACUUGACAUCCUGAGAAUCUUCCAGAGAUGGAGGAGUGCCCUUCGGGGAACUCAUCGACAGUUUCUGCAUGGCUGCUCUCAGCUUCUUGUCCAGAGAUGUUGGGAUAAGGCCACAACGAGCGCAAC